rnacentral:lncRNA from 1 species
CGGUACUCGGACGGAGCUCUGCGACUGCGCAGUCCCUAGGACUGGGUCUAGUAGGAGGCGGUGGAGCGGCCGUGCUGGGGUCGACGGGGUACUUUGGACUACAGAGCCGCUCCACUGGCUCUUCCGGCGUUCCCGGACGCCGCUGACGCACCUGAUUCUCGCGACCUGCAGGAGAAGCCUCGGCCGGGGCGAGGGCCGAGGUCGUGACGGGCAUGACCGUCUCUCUGCUUGGUUAGGGUUAGUGUCCCGCCGGGCACAUCACCCUAUGAAUGGAGCCACUGAGAUAGACUGGGCUGAGGAGAACCGGUUGGAAUAAUGAGCCAUGGCAGCAACUGCCUGAGAGAGAGGACCGGCGGGUUGCUGUAGGGCUCCCUAACCGGACUGCCUGUCAGAAACCUGCACAGCUUGGUUUCUGUUCUUUGUGUCCCAAAUCUGACUCGGGUCACCAGUUAAGACCCGUGUCAGACUUCUGACCUACAGACUUGCGUCGUUUUAAGCCAGUAAAUUUGUGGUAAUUUGUUACAGUAGCAAUAGGAAAAUAAUACAGGUGAGGACUAAGAAUCCUAAUCACAAAUCUUUUUUUUUUUUUGAGACAUGGUCUGACUGUCACCCAGGCUGGCGCGAUCUCAGGCUCAAGUGGUCCUCCCACCUCAGUCUCCUGGAAAGCUAAGACUACAGGCACGCACCACCACGUCCAGUUAGCGUGUAUGUAUGUAUGUACGUACGUGUGUGUGUGUGUGUAUGUGUAUAUAUGUAACUCCUCCUCCCCUCCCCCCUCCCCUUCUCUUCUUUUCUUUCUAGAUGGGGUUUCGCCACGUUGCCCAGGACGGUUUUGAACUCCUGGGGCCAAGCGAUCUGCCUUCCUCGGCCUCCCAAAGUGCUGGGAUUGCAGGUGCGAGCCACUGCUCCUGGCCCAUAAGUCUUUCAGUGUAGAAGAGGGAAGCAGAAGAGGUCAAAGUGGUGCCAUGUGAGAGCUCAACCCACCCUUGCUGGAGGAAGGGAGCCAGAGCCAAGCUGGAAAAGGCAAGGAAACAACCUUUGUGAUUACAUUAGGCCCAUCCAGAUGAUCCAGGAUAAUUUAUUUUACAGUCAUCUGAUUAGCAACUUAAUUCUCUUCUGUCAUGUUAGGUAACAUAUUCAUAUGUUUCAGAGUGGUAGGCCAUUAUUCUACCUACCAUACCACCCAACACAAAUCUACAUUAAGACUAUAUCUGAGUGUUGCACAGGAAUCUAUGUCAACAAGCUUCCAGGAUGAUCCUGUGCAUCCUAUCUGAUGCAGCCCAGCAUCUGAGUACCAGAGACUAGCAUCUGGCUGUUAGGUUAGGAGAGAUCAGCUCAUGCACCAACAGGUAGUCAUGCUGGGACCAAAUGAUGAAGAUAGGUACAACUAGUCCCAGUGAGAGCUGGGGAAUUGGGCUGGGAUAAUAGAGGAUGUUAAGAAUGGAGUGUCCCCUCAACCCCAGAACUUUUUUUUCUUUUUUUGUGGUAAGGAGGGAGAAGGCUGUUUGGUAAGGAUGUUGUAAACUCUGAGAAAGCAAGAAUUUCAAAAGUCAAGGGUAGUAUUGGGGGGAAAAUCACUAGAAUUUGUGUGUGUGUACCCUAACUACUGUUUUGGUUUUGUUUUUGUUUUUUAGAAGGAGUCUCACUCUGUCGCCCAGGCUGGAGUGCAGUGGCAUGAUCUCAGCUCACUGCAAGCUCCACCUCCCGAGUUCACGCCAUUCUCUUGCCUCAGCCUCCCGAGUAGCUGGGACUACAGGCACCUGCCACCACGCCCGGCUAAUUUUUUGUAUUUUUAGUAGAGACAGGGUUUCACCGUUGUUAGCCAGGAUGGUCUCGAUCUCCUGACCUUGUGAUCCGCCCGCCUCGGCCUCCCAAAGUGCUGGGAUUACAGGCGUGAGCCACCGCGCCCAGGCCCUAACUGCUGUUUUUUAAAAAACUUUUUAGGUCACAACCUAUCUGUAAAUAUGACACACCAGUAUGGAAAUCCUUAUUCUUCUCACAGCCACCAGCUAUUGGCCCAUCCACUGACUAUCCCAAUUCCACCUGCCUUAUCAGUGGAAAGGUGAAAUGUAUGCCCACUUUUUCCUCACACCAUUCCCCUUUCUAUCAAAAACUACCAAGAGAAACCCAGGACCUACCAAAAUAGUUAAGAUGUGCUCCACUGUGUCUACUGCCAGCCAAACCUGUUGAAGGCUGGCUCAACCCUAAUCUGUGCCUUCCUGUCUUCUCACAAACGUAGUCUGAUUUGCUGGCUAGAUUUCUAGUAACAGCCACAGAGCAGAAAUGUGUCCCUUCCCAAUAUGUCACAUAAUCCCCAAGAGCCUCAGGCCAGAAGUCCACAACAUGUAACUAGUUCAAAGGAUAAAAUUUUUCUCUGCAUUAAUUCUAACAUGAGGAAUACUGAAAACUCUUUUAAACAUCUGAAGAAUUUCAGCAAUUCACAAUUCACCUUACUGGAGUGUUACACUGUCAUCCAGAUUUAGAAACAGGAGGAUAUAAAACUAUUAAAUGGAAAAGCCUAGAGAAC